UACGGGGGGGGCAAGCGUUGUUCGGAAUUACUGGGCGUAAAGGGCUCGUAGGCGGCCAACUAAGUCAGACGUGAAAUCCCUCGGCUUAACCGGGGAACUGCGUCUGAUACUGGAAGGCUUGAAUCCGGGAGAGGGAUGUGGAAUUCCAGGUGUAGCGGUGAAAUGCGUAGAGAUCCCCAAGAACACCAGUUGCGAAGGCGGUCGUCUGGACACAUAUUGACGCUGAGGCUCGAAAGCAUGGGGAGCAAACAGG
rnacentral:rRNA from 1 species